rnacentral:sRNA from 1 species
GCUGGGUGUGGGGGUGCACUCCUGUCAUCCCAGCAGCUUGGGAGGCUGAGGUGGGAGGAUGGCUAGUUGGAGGCCAGGCUCAGCAACCUAGCAAGGCCCUGAGUAACUCAGCAAGACCCUGUCUCUA